AUUGAACGCUGGCGGCAGGCCUAACACAUGCAAGUCGAGCGGAUGAAGGGAGCUUGCUCCUGGAUUCAGCGGCGGACGGGUGAGUAAUGCCUAGGAAUCUGCCUGGUAGUGGGGGAUAACGUCCGGAAACGGGCGCUAAUACCGCAUACGUCCUGAGGGGGAAAGUGGGGGAUCUUCGGACCUCACGCUAUUAGAUGAGCCUAGGUCGGAUUAGCUAGUUGGUGGGGUAAAGGCCUACCAAGGCGACGAUCCGUAACUGGUCUGAGAGGAUGAUCAGUCACACUGGAACUGAGACACGGUCCAGACUCCUACGGGAGGCAGCAGUGGGGAAUAUUGGACAAUGGGCGAAAGCCUGAUCCAGCCAUGCCGCGUGUGUGAAGAAGGUCUUCGGAUUGUAAAGCACUUUAAGUUGGGAGGAAGGGCAGUAAGUUAAUACCUUGCUGUUUUGACGUUACCAACAGAAUAAGCACCGGCUAACUUCGUG
rnacentral:rRNA from 1 species